rnacentral:rRNA from 1 species
GACGAACGCUGGCGGCGUGCUUAGCACAUGCCAGUCGAACGGAAAGGCCCUGCUUUUGUGGGGUGCUCGAGUGGCGAACGGGUGAGUAACACGUGAGUAACCUGCCCUUGACUUUGGGAUAACUUCAGGAAACUGGGGCUAAUACCGGAUAGGAGCUCCUGCUGCAUGGUGGGGGUUGGAAAGUUUCGGCGGUUGGGGAUGGACUCGCGGCUUAUCAGCUUGUUGGUGGGGUAGUGGCUUACCAAGGCUUUGACGGGUAGCCGGCCUGAGAGGGUGACCGGCCACAUUGGGACUGAGAUACGGCCCAGACUCCUACGGGAGGCAGCAGUGGGGAAUAUUGCACAAUGGGCGGAAGCCUGAUGCAGCAACGCCGCGUGCGGGAUGACGGCCUUCGGGUUGUAAACCGCUUUCGCCUGUGACGAAGAGUGAGUGACGGUAAUGGGUAAAGAAGCACCGGCUAACUACGUG